GAGUUUGUCGAAAUGCUAGUGGCUAUGCUAAUGCAUUACAGAGCGCAAUUUGAGUGUCUGGCUGAAUGUGUCUUCCUCAUCCCGGACACAAAUUUACACGUUAUCGUCAUGCUACCGCAGCAGUAAACAUUUUCCACCGCAAUAAAAGAAACGGCCGCGUAUCCUUCUGUUUAUCCAGGCGCUGAAACAAGGCAGGUGUGAAUGACAGACGUGGUGCCUACCACCUCCCUCAGUGAAAUAAAGCUCCGCCUGCUCUGCCACGAUGACAUAGAGAGAAUAAAGGUGCUCUGUGGAGAGUGGUUCCCCAUUGAGUAUCCAGACUCAUGGUAUCAUGACAUCACAUCAAACAAGAAGUUUUUCUCUCUGGCUGCCACCUUCAGAGGUGGAAUUGUGGGGAUGAUUGUGGCAGAAAUAAAAAGCAGAACAAAAGUGCACAAAGAGGAUGGAGACAUCUUGGCCUCCAGCUUUCCCGUUGACACUCAAGUUGCCUACAUCCUGAGUUUAGGAGUCAUGAAGGAGUUUCGAAAACAUGGAAUAGGCUCUCUAUUAUUAGACAGUUUAAAGGAGCACAUCUCCACCAUGGCACAGGACCAUUGUAAAGCUAUCUACCUGCAUGUGCUCACCACCAAUAACACUGCCAUUUACUUUUAUGAGAACAGAGACUUUAAGCAGCACCACUAUUUACCGUAUUAUUACUCUAUACGAGGAGUGCUGAAGGAUGGGUUCACAUAUGUCCUCUACAUCAAUGGCGGACAUCCACCAUGGACUAUCUUAUAUCCUUUUUUUAUCUCACCUGUUGUUUUGUCUAUUUUUAUGUGUGUUCUUGUGCUGAGAAUAAUCAAUGAUGGGCAACACAUUGUUAAAGGGAGAGUUUACCUAAAAGAAAACCCUGUCAUCAUUUUCUCACCCUCAUGUUGUUCCAAACCUAAACAAAAAAGUGGUUAUUAGGCAGAAUGUUAGCUUCAAUCACCAAUUACUGUCAUCAAAUGGAAAAAAGAUGCAUAGAAAGUGAAUAGUGACUAAGGCUAACAUUCUGCCUAACAUCCUCUCAUGUUCCACAGAAGAAAGAAAAUCAGAUCUAGUUUAUUAGCCUAACUUUAUUUAUUUAAAAUUGACAAGCAACUUAGCAACCUGGAGCAUUAAUAAAGGCUCUGUCGAAAACCUAAUGCCACCUAUUCAAUCAAUGACUUCACAUGGAGUGUUUGUGUACCUCCUGUGUACAAAAGGCUCCAUAAUGUCUCAACUGAUGAUCUACAAUAAAUUCAAGGGUGCUUUAGAGAUGACCAAGCAAAUAUUUAAUGAUUACAGUGCUUACUGCAAGAAUAGAAAUCCCGUCUUUUAGUUAAAAAAGCCAAUCAUCCAAUUAAAUGGUCCAGCCUGAAAUGUGUUAUGAUAUAUGUCAUUGAAAUGUAAUGUUAACUAGCAGUUUGGGAGAUUUAGGUCUUUCUCCAUUAAAUUAGAAGCUGCACUUGCCUACUAUUCUACGGACUGACUUUUAAGGGGAUGUUGGUACAACAUAGUUACCCUGUUAUUAUUUUUAGACAUUGGGAAUUUGAAUUUGGUCUGAACUGUAUCGUUUGUGUUUCUUGACUCGCCUAGCACUGAUUAUAUUCAUCAUAUAGGUUCGGCACUGGCCAGUCUGAGCCCAUGCUCUAUUCCUCAGAGAAUUUACCGGCAAGCACAGAAUCUCCUGCGCAGCUUUCUGCCAUGGUCAAGCAUCUCUUCCAAGAGUGGCAUUGAGUACAGCAGAACAAUGUGAGGAUCAUCAGGCCAAACAGUGCAGGGUGGAAGAGAAUGAUUUGUUUGGGUCACACCAUCACUCAUCAAGCUUGAACUGUGAAGACUGAAAAAGGAUCUCUUGGCGAACAGUGUAUUAUAUGUGUACAUUAUAUAUACUUUAUAUAAUAUAUGUAUUGCCAUUAGUAGAUUGCCCUCUUAACAAACUCUCAACUUCAUGCCUGUAUUCGGCUGCUGUUUAGAAAUAUGCUAUAGUCUACCCAGAUUUUUAAUAUAAAUAGAUUUUUUUUUAUGUGUGCCUGGUCUAUUUAGAGGAUUAUAGGGUCUAUGAUGGUAAAAGUAUCUCCAAGAUGCAUACUUUUUGAUUAAGUCACUUUCAUGCAUGUGUCAAGCUCUAGUGUUUUGUUGGUGUAUUUACACCUUGAUGCACAACAUAUAUUUCAGCCCCCAAUUUUAGUAUUAAGUACUACAUUUAAAAUUAUUGUUUUAAUUAUGUUUGCACAGAGGCAAUGAAUGUAGUGUUGCUAUAAAGGGAAAAAAGCUACAGUUUUAGAAAACGCUCCACCUCACUAAAUGUGUAUUAUGUCAGAUUUAAAUUUGCAAAGUCCUUUUAAAUUCUGAAAAUACUAAUUUAGCUAGAGCACUACAUCCUGUCAGUCCAUGCAUUGUACAUGCUUUUCUUUUAAAGUGGAAAUAGGUGAAUGUCGUUGAAGGGAAGUUUUUGAAUAUGUUGAUGUGAAUCAGAGAUUUACAUAUAAAUAAGAUUAUUUGAGAAACAAGCUACUGCAUUAUGCAACUUUGCAGGAUCAAAGAUGACCAACUCUCUUCAAUAUUAACGCAUAUAUUUAUGUUGGUUUGUGACUGUCUUUUCAUGAUAUCUUUGACAAGACAAAGGCACAUGGGUCUGUUUGUGUAAGACUUAGGACUUUUGUUUGUAUUUGUCCUCUUUCUAUAUGGAACUUAUAUUUCUUUUCAGAAUUUUGACUAAGGAAAAAGUGUUGCCAUGAUGCCCUAUGUAUGAAAAAUCAUUUUUAACAAGUUAUUGAUGUAGAUAAUGGUGCCACUAUCACCUGUAGUUGAGAGUGAGACAAUUAUUCUGCAAUACUUUUUAAAAACGUUAGUAUUUUGUGAAUUGGUGCAUUGUAAAGGUUUACAUUUAAAUGUGUAUAACAUUUACAUUGUGUUGAUUGUCAGGACUUAAAUAGAGGGAAAGCAGUUUUGAUUUUAUACACUUAUAAUGAAAAAUAUUAUUUUCCAAAUGCAUAUACUUCCUAACCCAAAAGAACAUGCCUAGAAUUAUUGAAAGCAAAGGUAUGUGUCACUGGUUUCCUAAUUGUGCAGUGGCACUCUCUGGUGUUCAAUGAGAGAAUGCAAAACCAGUGGUGGUGUUUUUAAUUGUACAUUUACUAUUUGUGAUCAUGUAUAAAGCUCUGACCAUUUAUCCCUUUGCAUCCAUCCAUUUGUCUGUCACUUAUAUAUGAUUUUUUUAUUCAUUUGUCUAUCCAUCAAUAAAGAGCAUUUUGAGAUGACCUAUAGGUAAGACAGAAAUAAAAAAUAAACCAAGAUUA